ensembl:misc_RNA
UGUUGGGGACGUGUUGGGGACAGGUGUCCCCGAUGUGGUUUCCGAGGGGUCCCUGUCGCCAGCGAGUUGUCGCCCCUGCCUGACGACCUGGUU